rnacentral:tRNA from 1 species
GCCCAGGUGGCGAAAUUGGUAGACGCGCACGCUUCAGGAGCGUGUGAGCCUAGCUCUUGGAGGUUCGAGUCCUCUCCUGGGCACCA